rnacentral:rRNA from 1 species
CCUACGGGUGGCAGCAGUGGGGAAUAUUGCGCAAUGGGGGCAACCCUGACGCAGUCAUGCCGCGUGAAUGAAGAAGGCCUUCGGGUUGUAAAGUUCUUUCGGUGUUGAGGAAGGCACCUAAUUUAAUAGGUUAGGUGAUUGACGUUAAACACAGAAGAAGCACCGGCUAACUCCGUGCCAGCAGCCGCGGUAAUACGGAGGGUGCGAGCGUUAAUCGGAAUAACUGGGCGUAAAGGGCACGCAGGCGGCUAUUUAAGUGAGGUGUGAAAGCCCCGGGCUUAACCUGGGAAUUGCAUUUCAGACUGGGUAGCUAGAGUACUUUAGGGAGGGGUAGAAUUCCACGUGUAGCGGUGAAAUGCGUAGAGAUGUGGAGGAAUACCGAAGGCGAAGGCAGCCCCUUGGGAAUGUACUGACGCUCAUGUGCGAAAGCGUGGGGAGCAAACAGGAUUAGAUACCCUUGUAGUC